UGUCUAUUAAUUGUAGACCCGUAUGAAUGGCAAAAUGAGGGUUUAACUGUCUCUUAUGAUAAAUCAAUUAAACUGAUCUCCCAGUCCAAAAGCUGGAAUACCCCCAUAAGACCAGAAGACCCUGUGAAGCUUUAACUAAACUAUUAAACCCAAUAAUAGCUCCUUUGGGUUGGGGCGACCUUGGAAAAAAAAAGAACUUCCAAACUAAAUGAUUUACACCAUACUUUAUUAGGCCGACAAGCCUACUAACAGACCCAGCACAGCUGAGUAAUGAACCAAGUUACUCCAGGGAUAACAGCGCCAUCUUCUUCAAGAGCCCAUAUCAAAAAGAAGGUUUACGACCUCGAUGUUGGAUCAGGACAUCCUAAUGGUGCAGCCGCUAUUNNGGGUUCGUUUGUUCAACGAUUAACAGU
rnacentral:rRNA from 1 species